rnacentral:misc_RNA from 1 species
GAUGAAGAACGUAGCGAAAUGCGAUACUUGGUGUGAAUUGCAGAAUCCCGUGAACCAUCGAGUCUUUGAACGCAAGUUGCGCCCGAAGCCAUCAGGUUGAGGGCACGUCUGCCUGGGCGUCACAUAUCGUUGCCCAAUGCCUAUUGCAGUGCAAUAGGAAUUUCUAGGGCGAAUGAUGGCUUCCCGUGAGCGCUGUUGCCUCGCGGUUGGUUGAAAAUCGAGUCCUUGGUAGGGUGUGCCAUGGUAGAUGGUGGUCGAGUUAGAACGAUACCGAUCAUGUGCAUGCUCCCCAAAAUAUGGCCUCUAUGACCCACACGCGUCUUUUGACGCUCAUGACGAGACCUCAGGUCAGGCGGGGCUACCCGCUGAAUUUAAGCAUAUCAAUAAGCGGAGGA